rnacentral:rRNA from 1 species
AUAGAGAUAUUAAGCGAAACUCNUAAAAGUAGUCUCAGUUCGGAUUGAAGGCUGAAAUUCGCCUUUAUGAAGCCGGAAUUGCUAGUAAUGGCAGGUCAGCAUACUGCCGUGAAUACGUUCCCGGGUCUUGUACACACCGCCCGUCACACCAUGAGAGUUGGCAAUACCCAACGUACGUGAUCUAACCCGCAAGGGAGGAAGCGUCCUAAGGUAGGGUCAGCGAUUGGGGUGAAGUCGUAACAAGGUACC